rnacentral:lncRNA from 1 species
AUGGCCGCCCCAAUUGGCAGCGCGCUCCAGCCAAUGGCGGAGGCGAGCGCUUCCUGCUGGCCAAUGGCGGCGGAGCCCGGCGGGGGGCAGCGGGCCGGCCGAGCUUGCCUCCAGCGGGGCGCGCCUGCCCGCAGGCCAAUGGCGGCGCCGGAGGAGCGGCGGGGCAGCGCGCCCGCGGCGCCCGGCGGGUUGGGGGGGGGGGGGGAGUGGUUGCCGUGGCAACCGCAGGCCUGGUGGCGACGACCCACCCUGACACCCGCCGCCCCUCGCCCAGCCCGGGACGCGACGCGGUACCUGGGGCCGAGCGGCAGAGCUCCGCCUCCUCCGUCCUCCAGCGGCGGGGCGGUGUCCUGUGCCGGCGGGGCUGCCGCCUCUGCCCCGCCUCCCGCUGCCGCCCGCCCCGCCGGGCAGCGGCCUGCGACCUGUGACGGACUGGGGGUAGGGUGUGCCGCGCGGCUGCUGCGGCUGGAGGUGGAUGUUGAAGGUGCCCCGGUGGCUUGCACUCUGCCCAUGGGAACCCCUCGGAGUUCGCAGAGCGGUGCUGUGGGACGGGGGUGCUGCAGUGAUCCACAUACUUAUGGACGAUCUGCAUGCCUCCAUGGAGAUAUCCAGAGGGAAGAUGUCAGCUGAGGAUGUGGUGCAGAAUUACUCAAGCAUGCAAGAUGUAGUAGAAGUGAAAGGCAAUGAUUGCUCCUUUGUUCAGACAGACCCAGGUACAACGAAAUUCUCUGUUCUUCCAUGGCACUGAAGUAACCUCUUUGGGAGAAGAUACAGGUGGAAUGACAGAAAUGUCUGCCAUGGCCAACACUGAUCUCACCUGCAAUGGACAGCCCCAGAUCUCACUGAAGACUGAAGCCUACUGGCAACAUGCUCUGCCUCGCCUUGCCUCCUGAGAGGUGGAGGUAUCCAUUCCUCUUUCCUCGGCUGCUGUCUAGGAACAGACUGAAGUAGCCAACUGGGCAUUGCAAAAAAUCUCAUGAGCAGCCAGUCGGCUAUGACUUGAUAUUCCGUUAAAACAAAUCAGAGCACAGUGGUGAACCACAUCUCCUCUGACUCUCUUUCCCCAGAGGGUUGCAAACUUCCAACUUCAGGAUGCAAGAGCCUGGCCUUAGGCCAAUUACAUCUGUGGCUGGUAAAUUAGGAGGCAUAGUUAGACUCAAACUGGGGCCAAAUCGUAGCACAAGCUAUUCCAACAAGCCUUGAUGGCUGUAGACCUCCUCAGAGACAUUCCCACAGGAUUGCUAGCCUUCUGCAUGGUUCCCUAUCCAAAAGAAUGACUAUUAUCUUAAUAAUGGCAACAGCCACUCAUAAGGUUCACCUGCAUUACACAGACUGCAUUUCUUAGAAGGAAGAAGUAAACUUUUUAUAUUUCUGUGGAGCAAGUAUGAAAAUCAUUAUUUCUUGACUGUUUUCAUUGGGUAGCUCGGACCGCAAGCAGAACUUAACUGUGCAAAAUAUGCUAUAUGAACAAAUAGGACAAAAUGUUCAUAACUUUACUAAGCCAGACAGACAGAGAUUAGGAGGGGAAACAAGGGUGGAGAGAGGUCAAGAUAUCUGGUUCAAGGUCAGUGGUUAGAUCUGGGCAGACAGUUGUCUUCCAUUGUCUCUCCAAACAGAUUAAGUAGUUCUGUGAGAGUGUCCAU